rnacentral:tRNA from 1 species
GCCGGGAUGGCGGAAUCGGUAGACGCGCCGGACUUAAAAUCCUGUGGUCCUUACGGGCCGUGCGGGUUCGAUUCCCGCUCCUGGUA